GUGAGGUUCUGCUCUGCCCCUGCUCCAACACCCGGAGGAUUCUUGCUGGCUGUGGGAUGAAUCCCUGCCCACGGAUGGGAACAAAACCUGGGGGUGAAGAGCCAGGAAGACAGCACUGGGGGCUCGUUCCUCAUCCCUGAUGGCUUCAGCUGCUCAAUUAACACCUUGGGAGACUUCUCACUUGAUUAUCACCCUGUGCCCCUGAAGCCCUCUGCAGCCAGGGUGUCCUGCUUAGAGAAACCAGCUGAGCAUGAGGAAAAAAUUAAACUACUGCUUCCACGUUUGUCUUCCUGCUCUGGGCUGAUUUUGAAGAGGAGAAACACGACUGCUGCUGCCUGGCUCGUGGCUGGUGGCACUGCCUGUGCCCUCUCCUUGAGUUAAGUUGCAAAUUCACAGCUUUGUUUCAAGGAAACAAUAUUAAAAGAAAAAAAAAAUA